GACGAACGCUGGCGGCGUGCUUAACACAUGCAAGUCGAACGAAGUGGCGAACGGGUGAGUAAUACGUGGGUAACCUGCCCUCCUUUUUGGGAUAAGCCUUGGAAACGGGGUCUAAUACCGAAUAAAGGGGGAUGGGCUCGCGGCCUAUCAGCUGGUUGGUGGGGUGAUGGCCUACCAAAGCGGUGACGGGUAGCCGGCCUGAGAGGGUGACCGGCCACGUUGGGACGGGGAAGCGGCCCAGACUGCGAAGGCGGGCAGCAGUGGGGGAUAUUGCACAAUGAGCGACGGACUGAUGCAGCGACGCCGAGUGGGGGAUGAAGGCUUUCGGGUUGUAAACCUCUUUCGGUAUCGAACGGGUACGUGGAGAAGAAGCACCGGCUAACUACGUGCCAGCAGCCGCGGUAAUUC
rnacentral:rRNA from 1 species